rnacentral:misc_RNA from 1 species
GACGAACCGUCCAAACGUUAUUCGGAAUCACUGGGCUUAAAGCGUGCGUAGGCGGCCUGCCAAGUCGGGUGUGAAAUCCCUCGGCUCAACCGAGGAAUUGCGCCCGAUACUGGCGGGCUGGAGGGAGAUAGAGGUGAGCGGAACUAAUGGUGGAGCGGUGAAAUGCGUUGAUAUCAUUAGGAACACCGGUGGCGAAAGCGGCUCACUGGGUCUCUUCUGACGCUGAGGCACGAAAGCUAGGGGAGCGAACGGG